rnacentral:rRNA from 1 species
AAAUGAAUUGACGGGGGCCCGCACAAGCGGAGGAACAUGUGGUUUAAUUCGAUGAUACGCGAGGAACCUUACCCGGGCUAGAACGCAGAGGGAAUAUACAGGAAACUGUAUAGCCGCCAGGCCGUCUGCGAGGUGCUGCAUGGUUGUCGUCAGCUCGUGCCGUGAGGUGUCGGCUUAAGUGCCAUAACGAGCGCAACCCUUAUUGUUAGUUGCCAGCGGGUAAUGCCGGGGACUCUAGCAAAACUGCCGGCGUAAGCUGUGAGGAAGGUGGGGAUGACGUCAAAUCAGCACGGCCCUUACGUCCGGGGCGACACACGUGUUACAAUGGGAGGUACAGAAGGUUGCUACCACGCGAGUGGAUGCCAAUCCAAAAAUCCUCUCUCAGUUCGGAUCGAAGUCUGCAACUCGACUUCGUGAAGCUGGAUUCGCUAGUAAUCGCGCAUCAGCCAUGGCGCGGUGAAUACGUUCCCGGGCCUUGCACACACCGCCCGU